AAGGAAGAAUUGUUUUAUUCGCAGGACACUAAAAGGUAACGAAUGAACUCGGUAUGAUAAUGAGAUCAUAAUGAGCUGAUACGUCAUGACAGUUGCCCCGCCUUGAUCAAUCCAUAUUUGGAAAGAUAUACACAAACUCUAUUUUUAGGAUCAUAUAAAAAUAUAUCGGAAUAUUGCCUUUAUUCUACGCUUAAAAUUAGUCAAAUUUCCCUGAUUUGACAACACAUCACAAGGCAUUAUGAUGAGAAAUACCCUGGUGAAGUUUGUCGUAUGGUUGGAAUCAGCGUCUAAAAUACGCUUACUAGGCACAUGGCAAAGACGACGUUCAGAAGAUGUCAGCUGUAUAACUUUGAAAUCGGAAAAAACAAGGCGGGUAUCUAGGCAGUAAAUUCCACAGACACCUGAAGAUUGGACACUACCCCCCCCCCCCCCCACUCUUUCUUUUGAUUUUUUUUGCGAUAAUUUCUCACACGUAGCCGAUGUGUAGCGUAUUGGGUGCACACACGCAAAAUAUGCCUAUAUGUUAGAGAAAUGAUGCUCAAAUGGUACCAGUUGUUGUUUGUUUAUAUAAACAUGAGCACAGGCAGGUAUCUAGGCAGUAAACUCCACAGGCACCUAAAGUAUGGAUAUUACAUGACCCCCCCCCCCCCCCCCCACUCUUUCUUUUGAUUUUUUUUCUUGCUAUACUUUCUCUGAAAUAAGUCGAUUUCCUGUCUAUCUCAUCCUUCUUUCGAUUCAGGUAAUCCUUUCACGCUUUUUGUAAGCUUCUACCGGUAUCAUUUAAUUUAUUUAUUGAUUCACCAAGCAUGUUGGCAUACAAUCAUGUUACACAAUGAUGAGAUAUGUAUAAUGAUGACAAACUAAAUACUAACAGUUCAUAUGCAUAUAUGUAAAAACGUGUAUAUAUAUUUGGCAUGUACAUAUGACAUCUAACUGUAUAUAUAAUUUAGUAUUGCAAGUAUAACAGCCUAUGAUUUAUUACAAAAUUUGUGCUCAAUUUUUUUUGUACCCUACAAGGCCACUCUCUAAAGCUUACAAAAAGUGUGAAACGAUUACAGUACUUUUAAAAAUCGAAAGAGAAAUGAGUUCGACAGGGAAUCAACACAUUUCAGAUUUAUCGCUGCAAAAAAAAAAAUUCAAAAAAAGGGGGUGGGGGGGCUAGUAUCAGUGCAUCAGGUACCUGUGGUAAUAUCUUGUACAAACGCACGUGUAACGACAUUAAUUUUCAUGCUCUAGAUUUACAGUCACAUUUAAUUUUAUCAAGUGACAUACAAAAAAAAUAAUAAACUUGGGAUAUUUUCGCUUACAUUACAGUUUGAAUAAAUGGAAGAAAAAUAAAAGACUUUGAAUGUAUACUGAUUGCCCACAUUUUUUAUGUGUAUUUGAGACCCUUCUCCAAUACAUUGAAUGUUUGCAGCAUAUGUAUUUAUAAUAUGAGAUAAUGCUAUUUACAGAUGUGCAUGAUACCAACAAGAAUAUGAACUUUUCAAAGAGCAUAUUUCCAAUUUUCCACAUCUCUAGAGCUGUGACCACAAAUGUACAUGCAAGUACCCACAGAUGACAGCCAUAUUGACUCCAGUGGAUAAUAUUUACCUCCAUCAGCUGGUUACUACACUGUACAUAGUGGUCAAACCAGGAUAUCCACUAAUUGCUUUCAGUGAUGUGAAUUGUCAUCUACAUUUGUGCUUAUGAACUUUAGUAAACUGUCAAGUUUUAAUACGAAGAAAAUGACUGCUGAAAAAGCAUCUAAUCUUGUGUUCUAUGAAUGUUUUCAAUUAAACACAAAACAAAAUGAGAAA